UUGGAUGAACAGUGAAGCUAUAGUUUGAUUCACUGCUCUCUUCAUUCGAUGAAUGUUUAUUCCUUUCUUAUUCUUUUGAUUUACCGAAUCAUCAUUCGAUGAAGGGGCUAAAAAUAGCCUAUUUAACAACAGACAUAAUAACAAAAUUUUGUCCCAGACAAUUUUACUCUGUAUUUGUUCACCCUAACAGCGAACGUAAUAGUGGUGCCUCUCUCGAUUCCGUCGUUGAGAACCGUCGAUUCAUCUCCGACUCGUUCACCCGAUUCAUUUCACAGAAUAAUUCUCCCUACCUCCCCAAAGUUGCCUCAUUUCAUUUACGAGAACCUCUGUAAGUUCCCAUUUUUUCUUCCUCAAUCUAUUAUAUAAAUAUUUAUUAGAAAUAAAUAGAUAUUAUAAAAAGAAACUAGAUUAUAUUAAUAAUACAAAGUAUAAGAUCAAUGAUUGGUUUAACAUAAACAUAAAAAAGGGAGUUAACCUUCAUUUUUUCCACUUUCAUUCAUUGAUUCACUCAUUAUUACAACGAGACAGGCAUUUUUCUAUCUCACACUAAGCCGGUAAAUUAACAAAAAGUAAAUCAAAAAUUUUUGGAAUAGGCAGCAAGAAGUUAUCGAAAAUUAUGUGUGUGUGUUUUUUUUCUAAAAAUUUGGUUCGGUGGACAAAACAAAUCCCUUCAUCACAUGUUUCGAUAAAAUAGAUUGGAUCUAUGUCGAAUUGCUAAGGUACAUGUAUUAAUCAAAUAAAUGAAUUUCGUUCUAUUCUGAUAAGCCAAUUAUGAUUGGCCUUGAAACAAUUCAUUGCAUUGAUAUUUAUCAAACCCAAUAUCAAUAAAACCAUUUUACCCUCUACACGUUAAGUAAAUUAGAAUUCUCAUUCCUGAGAGCUACUAACCACUAUGAGUGUACUUCAUAUACAUAUAUAUAAAUAGAUCUUAUCCAUCUACUGAUUCUGUAACACCCCUUACAUGUAUUCAACGCCGGAACAGGAUUCGAGGCGUUAUCAGACUUCAACACAAGAAAUCAUACUAUUUCGAGUCAUGAGAAUUAAUCUAUAUUAAAACCAUUCAAAAAUAAUCAUAUCGUCCCUUACACGGGCCCAUGAGGCCCAAAACAUACAUUGGGAGUAGUUCGGGACUAAACCGAUAACUUUGGGGUCUUUUGGGAAACUUAGUAAAUUUCAUCAUGAAACAGGGACACACGCCUAUGUGGGUAGGCCGUGUGGUCACACAUAGCAUACUUAGGCAAGCAAAUGACUAUAAAUAAGUUAAUAACAUAUCAUCCUCAUAUCAUCAUUUGUCUUACUUAAUCAUCCUAUUUAGAUCAUUAAAAAAAAUAUUAGCUUCACAUUCACACAAGACAUUAACACAUGCAUAAGCUUAUAAUCAACAUAAGCAAUCAUUCACAGUUGUAUACCAAUUGAACCAUAAACUAUAUUAGGCCAACACAUUUGGCCUCAUUAACAAUGACACAAAAAUUUAAAAGACAAAGUCACUAUACAUGCCAUAAACUUAAAAUACUUACAUUCACUUAUACCAAAUGAUAAUUUGAUAGUGUGAUAACAUCUUCGGCGAUCUCCAACCCGAACUAGCUGUAUAAACCUAUAAGAUGAGAGAAAGGAAAAAGAGUAAGCUAUAAAGCUUAGUAACUUAAUAUAUAAAUAAUAAACAAUUUAUUAAUAUGCUUUUAUCAAUCUUCACAAUAUGUUCUCAAAAUAAUACAAUCAUAAAAGCACAUAGUUCCAAUAUUUACUCAAGUUUGUAUCUAACUGUCUACUCGAGUCAUAGCCACUAAAUUAUUUAUAUCUUGAGUUACGGAACUCCAAAUUAAGUUCCGUAAAUUUUCCCUAAAACUAGACUCACAUAUCUUCUUACCAUAAAAUUUUCAGAAUUUUUUGGUUUAGCCAAUAAGUACAUUUUAUUCUUUAAAGUCGUCCCUAUUUUGUUGUCUGACAGUUUUGACCUUUCUACACUAAAAAUUAAUUAUCUUCUUGUACAUAAUCUAGAUGAUAUUCUUGUUUGUUUUUCUUAAAAAUAGACUCAUUCAGAAUUUUAAAAAUAUAAAUUAUAACCCAUAAUUAUUUUUGUGCAAUUUUUAAUAAUUUUUCAAAUUCAAGAUAGGAGAUUCCAAAAUCAUUUUGAUGCUGUCUCACUAAAAUUCAAAUAUAUCAUAAUUUGAAAUUCUUUUUCUUACAUUGUUUCUUUUAUAUGAAAAUAGACUCAAUAAACUUUUAUUUCAUAUCUUAUUAAACCUAUAAUUCAAUUUCCACCAUUUUUGGUGAUUUUUCAAAAUCACACAACUGCUGCUGUCCAAAACUGUUUUAUUUCAAAUUUCACUCUUUCAUGAAACAUCAUAACAAUAUGCUCAACAUUCAAUAACAUAAUUCAACUUGCAUGCAUGAUACAAGACUUUAUCACUCCACUUACUCCUUUGCAACUUUACCACAUUUCGAUCACAUACCAAACACAUUGCUCGAGUAUACACAUACAUAUACCUGCACUUAUCACCACAUAGUCACACAUAAUUUCACUUAGUCGAUUUUCCCAAUGAACACUUCGGAAUGAUAACAGAUACACGGUGGUUCCGCACAUAGCACCACCCUUAUGAUCAAUGUUAUUCGGUACACAUAGUAGGCUACACUUAGUACUACACAUGUGACCAAUACCAUCUGGUACAUGUAGUAGCCUGCACAUAGUACUACACAUGUGACCAAAGCUAUCCGGUACACAUAGUAGCCUGCACUUAGUACUACAUAUGUGACCAUAACUAUCUUAUACUCAUAGUAGCCUACACAUAGUACUACACAUGAGUUCUCAUGACGUCCUUCGUAUCCUUUUCUAUUCCAAAAGUUUAACGGGGAAAUUUCUCACUUAUUCUCACUUUGUCAAUUUCAUCCAUAAUCAAUCUCAAUUCAUAAUUUACAUCAAAUAAUCAUUCAAUAUACAACCACAUCUCAUGUAAUAUAACAAAAUAUUAUAACAUGAGUAAAAACGAUAUAUUAUUUACAUAAAAACUUACCUCGACACCAAAAGGGCAAAAAGGGACAUAACCAUCAAUUCUCGUUUUUCCCCCCAUUCUAGGUCCGAACCUUAUUUUCUAUGAUCUAUAAUAUCAUAUUUAGCCUAAUUAUAAGUCACAUUAUUCAAAUAAAUCCACAAUUCAUACUUUUGUAAAAUUAUAGUUUUGCCCCUAAACUUUCACAUAUUUACAAAUUAGUCCCUAGGCUCGUAAAACAAAAUUUAUGGAAUUUCAUCCAUAUCAAAGACUAACCGAAUUAUUUAGGUGCUCAUAGCAGCCCAUAUAAUCCCCUAUUUCACUCUUAUAACUCAAAAUCUUCAUACUUUACAAAUUAAACCCUAAUAGCAUUUUACAACAAAAAUCACUUAACAAGAAAUGUUCAACACACAACAAGGUUUCAUUUUCCUCCAUUAAAUUUCACAAUCAACUAUCAUGCUUUCAUGGCCCAAAACCCUAGCCUUUCAAUCAUCUUGCAAAUUAGUCCCCUAUUUAGCUAGCUUAAGUUUCAAGGGUUUCAAAAACAUAUAAAUCAACAAAAACAAACAUAAAUUUCACUUACGUGCAAGGGUUUAAGUUUGCUAAAAAUUUGAGUUCUCCAAUGGCUAUUCUCUUGGUGAAAACGGUGGAAG
rnacentral:lncRNA from 1 species